UGCACUUUUGAGGCAUUAAAUAGACAGAGGAAAUGGAGCAAACAAGCGGCAAAAGUAGAACCAAGUUGCAGCUCCAUCAGCAGUGUUUACAGCCAUCACAGCUUUCUGGGAUAAUUCGACCACUUCUCUUGGCAGAAUCAAUAAGACAGGCCCAGAUAACAGUGAGGGCCUCUGCAGGGCGGAAGACCUCCUGAUUUGGGUGAACUUGUCAUCUCCUCCUUCUGUGUCUGCUCUCCUCUCAGUAUAAAGGAUCUCACUGUGCACGGAUGGCCCCGGUCGAGAACAACUAGGCGCCUGGUUCUGACAUAGUCGGACUGACGGCAGCGAGGGCCACACAUGCUCCCGGACUUUCAUCACAGCUAUGUUCGGCCCUUUCACUAAUUGCUGAAAGCUGGUCGGAGUGAGGCGAGGAUGGGUUCGGACUGUAAGGGUUUUAUUUAGCAGAGGAGACAGGGUCACAGCCACUGAUGCUCAUUAGUGAUUGAACUGAGCCAGUCUCCCAACUGCCUCAGCUCAGCACAGGGAUUGCUGAAACGGUGGAAACACAGCAACCAGGGAGACAGCAACAGCGACAACAACAGCGAUGACAAAAGAUGACCCGACAACGAAGGGACAGAAAACAGGAAUUUAAAUACAAAUGAGAUGAAAGGAACUACAGGAAAAACAGAUGGAUGCAGUUAGCAGAAAUACAAACAGGUGUGGAUCAUGACUCUGUCCUAAUAAUAAAAAAUAAUCUUUGA